rnacentral:rRNA from 1 species
UUGAAAGGGAAACGAUUGAAGUCAGUCGUACCAGCGGGAAAUCAACCUUUCGAGUGGGGUUUUGGAGUUUUUUGAAGAGUGUCAAAACCUUUAUUUCAAAAUAUUCGCUCUUUUGGUGUACUUUCUCGUGGGUAGGUUAACAUCGAUUUUGAUCAUCAUAAAAAGAUUGGAGGAAUGUAGCUUCAUCUUGUAUUGAAGUGUUAUAGCCUUUGGUAAAUGUGAUGAUUAGGAUCGAGGAUUGCAACGAAUACCCUUUUGGGCUAUCCGCCUGAUCUCUGAUACGUGGCCUUGGUAUCGAAAGCGUGCUUAUGGUAUUGAGGUAUUACGGUCAAAAGGUUAGAACGGAUUACAUUCGUUAAGGAUGUUGACGUA